rnacentral:rRNA from 1 species
UGAUAGAAGAUUAAAGGGCCGCAGUAUUAUAACUGUGCAAAGGUAGCAUAAUCAUUAGGUUUUUAAUUAGGAUCUUGAAUGAAUGGUUGGACAAAGGGAAUACUGUCUUUAUAUUAAAUUUUGAAUUUAACUUUUAAGUGAAAAGGCUUAAAUACUCUAAAGGGACGAUAAGACCCUAUAAAACUUUACAUUAGAAUUAAAUUUAGUUAAAUUUAAUUAUAAAGAUUUAAUUUAAUUAUUUGUUAUAUUGGGGAGAUACAGGUAAACAUUUUAUUAACUACUUAUUAUUAAGACAUUUACUAAUGAUGAAUAAAAGAUCCUUGUUAAAGAUUAUUGGAUUAAGUUACUUUAGGGAUAACAGCGUUAUUUUUUUUGAGAGUUCAUAUCGAAAAAAAAGGUUGCGACCUCGAUGUUGAAUUAAAAUAUCUAUAUAAUGGAGCAGUUAUACAGGAAGGUCUGUUCGACCUUUAAAAUUUU